rnacentral:rRNA from 1 species
UACGGAGGGUGCGAGCGUUGUCCGGAAUCACUGGGCGUAAAGGGCGCGUAGGUGGCUUUUCAAGCGCGCGGUGAAAGCCCGGGGCUCAACCCCGGGUCGGCCGUGCGGACUGGGAGGCUUGAGCACUGUAGGGGCGGGUGGAAUUCCGGGUGUAGCGGUGGAAUGCGUAGAUAUCUGGAGGAAUACCGGUGGCGAAGGCGGCAUCCUGGACCGGCAUUGACGCUGAGGAGCGAAAGCCAGGGGAGCAAACGGG